UACGGAGGGUGCGAACGUUAAUCGGAAUUACUGAGCGUAAAGCGUGCGCAGGCGGCUUCGCAAGUCAGACGUGAAAUCCCCGGGCUUAACCUGGGAAUGGCGUUUGAAACUACGGAUCUGGAGUAUGGCAGAGGGGGGUGGAAUUCCACGUGUAGCGGUGAAAUGCGUAGAUAUGUGGAGGAACACCGAUGGCGAAGGCAGCCCCCUGGGCCAAUACUGACGCUCAUGCACGAAAGCGUGGGGAGCAAACAGG
rnacentral:rRNA from 1 species